rnacentral:rRNA from 1 species
ACGAACGCUGGCGGCGUGCUUCACCCCUGCAAGUCGAACGGAAAGGCCCUGCUUUUGUGGGGUGCUCGAGUGGCGAACGGGUGAGUAACACGUGAGUAACCUGCCCUUGACUUUGGGAUAACUUCAGGAAACUGGGGCUAAUACCGGAUAGGAGCUCCUGCUGCAUGGUGGGGGUUGGAAAGUUUCGGCGGUUGGGGAUGGACUCGCGGCUUAUCAGCUUGUUGGUGGGGUAGUGGCUUACCAAGGCUUUGACGGGUAGCCGGCCUGAGAGGGUGACCGACCACAUUGGGACUGAGAUACGGCCCAGACUCCUACGGGAGGCAGCAGUGGGGAAUAUUGCACAAUGGGCGGAAGCCUGAUGCAGCAACGCCGCGUGCGGGAUGACGGCCUUCGGGUUGUAAACCGCUUUCGCCUGUGACGAAGCGUGAGUGACGGUAAUGGGUAAAGAAGCACCGGCUAACUACGUG